rnacentral:tRNA from 1 species
GCCAGUAUGGCACACUGGUUUGAGCAUUGGAUUAGGACUCUGGAGACCAGGGUUUGAAUCCCAGCUUGGCCA